AUUGGAAUUGGUUAAUUGAUCAGUUGAUUAAUUCAAUUAGUUAGUCAAGAUAAUUAGCUUUAUUUUAAGUUGAUUAGAAAGUUAGUUAGGUUGUCAGAUAGUUAGUUAAACUUGUCAGUGAUCAGUUAGAUCUAGAAGCUGUAUAUAUACACAUGUAGUGUAGCUGAUGUAUAGUUAAUUGUGAUGAAUGAAAGUUUUCAGUUUCCAUCUAAAUCUCUCUGUAAAAUUCUACAUGGUAUCAGAGCUCUGAACUGCUAAUCAGUCAGUUCAAUACGAUCCUGUUGCAAUUCAAUUCGAACAUUGAAGAACCAGAGAGAUGGGAGAUGCUGAAGCUGUCACCAUUGAUGCAUCACAAAUUGUUACAGUUGAAACUAUCGAUGAUGUCGAUCGAAAGCGAAACCAUCCACUUCACCUUCAUCACUCAGAUACUCCUGCUAGUGUGCUCACCACUGUGCAGCUUACAGGGAUGGAGAAUUACUCUCUAUGGAGCAGAUCCAUGUUGAUUAACCUUCGAGCCAAGAGUAAGUUGGGAUUUGUGUUGGGGACUUGCAAGAAGAGUGCUUAUCAAGGUGAACUGGAAGAGCAAUGGGAGAAGUGCAAUGCAUUUGUACUUGCUUGGAUCAUGAACACUGUGUCGAAGGAGCUGCUCAGUGGGAUUGUCUAUGCUACAGAUGCAGCCAUGGUGUGGACAGAUCUGAAAGAGAGAUUUGAUAAGGUUGACGGAUCGAGAAGUUAUCAACUACACAGGGAGAUCUGCACGAUUCAUCAAGGUAAUUUGACAAUUUCAACAUAUUUCUCGAAAUUGCGAUUGUUGUGGGAUGAGUUUGAUGCACUGGUUUCUCCACCUUCAUGCAAAUGCGAUAAAUCUAGAACUUAUGUUGAUCACCUAGCUUGUUUGAGACUAUUUGCUUUUUUGAUGGGAUUGAAUGAAGUGUAUGGUCAUGCACGAAGUCAAAUCCUGAUGAUGAACCCUCUACCUACUGUUGGAAAGGCAUAUGCUAUGUUGAUGGCAGAUGAAGGCCAACGUAUGACUGCAAGUUCACAUGCAGUGGGGGGUAUUUUAGAUCCAACUGCUCUGUAUGCAGGGAAAGGAAUUCUAGAUCCAACUGCAUUAUAUGCAGGGAAGGGGAAUUCUCAGAGAAAAUUUCAGGAUAAAAAGAAGAAUUGGGAUCAAAUAUGUGAUCACUGUAAAUUGCAAGGCCACAUCAAGGAAAAUUGUUUCAGGUUAAUUGGAUACCCUGUUGAUUGGAAGUUCAAGAAGAAGUCAGGACCACCAGCAAAUCAAGUUCAGAAUAAUAAGCAACAGGACAUGGCAAAUCAUGCAAAUGCUACCAGAUAUGAUGAUUCUGAUGAUGCUUUUGGCCCUUUGCUCCAAGAGAAGAACAUGUAUCACAAGUAUAAGCACAUGAUGGACAAAGAGGAAGAAGGAUCAAGCUCCAAAGGUGCAUUGGAUAUGGCUAACAUGGCAGGUAUAAUUUCAAAACCCAAAGCAUUAUCAGUGACAACUAGAGAAACCGAAAAGGGAGAUAGAUGGAUAAUGGAUUCAGGUGCUACAUGCCAUAUGACAUCUAAGCUCAAUAAAUUGACAUCUGCAUCUAGUUGUCUAGGCAGGAGGGUGCAUUUACCUAAUGGUGAAUCUACUUCAGUGUCUUAUGUUGGUAAAUGUGAGACUAUUGAUGGCAAUGUAUUGUAUAAUGUUUUGGUGGUACCUGCAUUCAAGCAUGAUCUUAUUUCAGUAUCACAGAUUACAAGACAAUUGAAAUGCUCAGUUAACUUCUUUCCUGAGUUUUUUGUUCUUCACGACCUCUCCAAUGGGAAAGUUAAGGGGAUUGGUAAGGAGAUUGAUGGACUCUACUACUUCCCUAUUCAGAACCCAUGUGGAGAAGGAAGGAAUGAUGAUAUGGUGUCCCUCACUCAACACUCAGAUGCACACAAGCUCCUUUGGCAUUACAGGCUAGGACACCCUUCAAUAAAGGUCUUGAAAUAUGUAACUCUAGGAAAGGAGAAUAUAGACAUUACUGCAUGUAAUAAAUGUUCAAUAUGUCCCCUUGCAAAGCAAACCAGAUUGCCUUUCCACUCAAGUGUAUCUAGAGCUGUUGAGGUUUUUGACUUGCUUCACUUAGAUAUUUGGGACCAUAUAGGACUGCUACUCAUAAUGGUUGUAGAUUUUUUCUGACAAUUGUUGAUGAUAAUUCAAGAAUGACCUGGUUGUAUCUGUUGAGAAUGAAGAGUGAUGUCUUCCAAGUUCUAAAGUUUUUUUUUGCUUUAGUUCAAACUCAGUUUAACAAGCAUGUCAAAAGGAUAAGAUCAUAUAAUGGCACAAAAUUCUUUAAUAAUGAAUGCAGUGCUUUGUUUAAGUCUCUUGGUAUUAUUCAUGAAAGUAGUUGUCCUCACACUCCACAACAAAAUGGAGUGGUGGAGAGAAAACACAGGCACAUACUUGAGGUAGCAAGGGCACUAAGAUUUCAAGGUGUUAUUCCCAUCAGAUUUUGGGGAGAGUGUGUAUUAGCUGUUGUUUAUCUGAUUAACAGAUUACCUACUGAAGUUUUGAAGGGACAAACUCCUUAUGAAAAAUUCAAUGGCCAUAAGGCAAAUAUUGAUCAUCUCAGGACAAUAGGAUGUCUAUGCUAUGCAACUAGAAUGGUUAAGCCUGAUAAGUUCACUCCUAGAGCUGAGGCAUGUGUUAUGAUGGGAUACUCAGCAACUCAGAAGGGUUAUAUUUUGUACAGUCUGUUUCAACAGAAGCUCUUGGUGAAUAGAGAUGUUGUUUUCAAGGAGGAUGUAUUUCCCUUUUAUAAGAUGACCAACACACAACCACCAGUAUUCUCAGAAAGUAACAGUCCUCCCAUGAUUGAUGAUGAACUUGAUAAGACACCUAUGUCCAUAGAAGACAACUUGGUAGAUCUGAAUGUUGAAUGUUCUGAGCAUGAUGAUUCUUAUGUGGAAAAUAUUACCAAUGAUCAACCAGGUAUAGCUGAAGAAAAUACAGAAAAUGCGGAUCAUGCAGAUGUUGAUGAAAGAGCCCAGGCAGGAGGAAGUAGACAGUCUUCCAGGGUUUCUCAUCCCCCCAUUUGGAUGAAAGACUAUGUUACUCAAGGGUCUAAGCCAUCUCACCCUUAUUCUCAGAGCAACUAUGUGUCUUAUGAUGGUGUCUCUCCUCAAUAUAAGGUUUAUUUGUCUCAGUUUUCCACAGAGACUGAACCUAGGAACUAUGAAGAAGCAAUAAAAGACACUAGGUGGAUACAUGCCAUGCAACAAGAGAUUCAAGCAUUAGAAGAAAAUGGUACUUGGGAGAUAGUUCAAUUGCCAAAAGGAAAGACUGUUAUAGGAUGCAAAUGGGUGUUUAAAAUCAAGUAUAAGGCUGAUGGUGAGAUUGAUAGAUUCAAAGCAAGAUUAGUAGCUAAAGGUUAUAGUCAGACUGAGGGGAUUGACUAUCAAGAAACCUUUUCACCUGUAGUGAAAAUGGUGACUGUUAGGGCAAUCAUAGCCUUAGCUGCUGCUGAGAACUGGAAGAUUUUUCAGAUGGAUGUAUUCAAUGCUUUUCUACAGGGUGAUUUGUCUGAGGAGGUAUAUAUGGAACUUCCUAAGGGAUUUUGUGGUCAGGGGAAGAAUAAAUAUCUAGUCUGUAAACUUGUUAAGUCACUCUAUGGACUUAAACAAGCAUCAAGACAAUGGAAUGCCAAGUUGACAGAGGCUUUCUUUGAUUCAGGCUAUACACAGAGUCACCUCGAUUAUUCUUUGUUUACUAAAAGGAGUGGAUCUAGCUUGGUAAUAAUCUUGGUAUAUGUUGAUGAUCUGUUGAUUACAGGAAAUGACAUUGAGUUAAUAGAAGAAACCAAGUGUGUACUGCACAGUUAUUUCAAAAUUAAAGAUCUAGGAGAACUUAAAUAUUUUUUGGGAAUUGAGUUCCUUAGAUCUAGCAAAGGUUUUGUGAUGAACCAAAGGAAAUAUGCUUUGGAGUUGAUAGCUAAAGCAGGGUUGGGAAAUGCUAAACCAAGUUUGACACCACUAGAAUGCAACAUAAAGUUGACCAAUGUUGAGUUUGAUCAAGAUAUCAAGACUACUGACAUUUUAUUUGAGGAUGUUUCUAGAUACCAAAGGCUUAUAGGUAAGCUGCUUUAUCUUACCAACACAAGGCCGGACAUAGCCUUUGCAGUACAGACCUUAAGUCAGUUUAUGCAACAACCAAAAAUGUCACACUGGAUUGCUGCUCUAAGGGUGAUAAAAUACAUUAAACUGGAACCAGAGAAGGGACUGUUGAUGAGCUCAGAUCACAGACCUCACUUAACAGGCUACUGUGAUGCAGAUUGGGCUGCCUGUCCAAAUACAAGAAGAUCUGUUACUGGUUUUGUAUUGAAGUUUGGUGAUUCGCUCAUUUCCUGGAAAUCCAAGAAGCAAAAUACUGUCUCUAGGAGCUCUGCAGAGGCUGAGUACAGGAGUUUGGCUAGUUUGACAGCUGAAGUAGUAUGGGUUGCUGGCUUGUUCAGGGAAUUGAAUGUAAAACUGAUUGAACCAUCUUCUAUUUUUUGUGAUAGCAAGGCUGCUAUACAAAUUGCUGCAAACCCAGUGUUUCAUGAACGUACUAAACACAUAGAGAUUGACUGCCAUUUCAUUCGAGAGAAGAUUCAGAAAAGACUCAUCAAGACAACCUACAUCAACACUAAAGACCAACAAGCUGAUUUGCUUACUAAGGCUUUGGGAAGGACGCAACAUGAAUUCUUACUAGACAAGCUUGGAGUAUUGAACUUGUUCAGUACAUACUGCUUGAGGAGGAGUAUUGGAAUUGGUUAAUUGAUCAGUUGAUUAAUUCAAUUAGUUAAUCAAGAUAAUUAGCUUUAUUUUAAGUUGAUUAGAAAGUUAGUUAGGUUGUCAGAUAGUUAGUUAAACUUGUCAGUGAUCAGUUAGAUCUAGAAGCUGUAUAUAUACACAUGUAGUGUAGCUGAUGUAUAGUUAAUUGUGAUGAAUGAAAGUUUUCAGUUUCCAUCUAAAUCUCUCUGUAAAAU
rnacentral:lncRNA from 1 species